CUCGUAGGUGGUUCGGUAAGUCGGAUGUGAAAUCUCCAGGCUCAACCUGGAGGGGUCAUUCGAUACUGCCGUGACUAGAGUUCGGUAGGGGAGUGUGGAAUUCCUGGUGGAGCGGUGAAAUGCGCAGAUAUCAGGAGGAACACCCGUAGCGAAGGCGGCACUCUGGGCCGAUACUGACACUGAGGAGCGAAAGCGUGGGGAGCGAACA
rnacentral:rRNA from 1 species